AAAGCUUUAAGUUAAAGAAACUAUUAACCUUCAAAGUUAAAUUUAUAAUAAACAUUAUAAGCUUUA
rnacentral:tRNA from 2 species